AGCGAACGCUGGCGGCAGGCCUAACACAUGCAAGUCGAACGGACCCUUCGGGGUUAGUGGCGGACAGGUGAGUAACACGUGGGAACGUGCCUUUAGGUGCGGAAUAGCUCCUGGAAACGGGUGGUAAUGCCGAAUGUGCCCUUCGGGGGAAAGAUUUAUCGCCUUUAGAGCGGCCCGCGUCUGAUUAGCUAGUUGGUGAGGUAAUGGCUCACCAAGGCGACGAUCAGUAGCUGGUCUGAGAGGAUGACCAGCCACAUUGGGACUGAGACACGGCCCAAACUCCUACGGGAGGCAGCAGUGGGGAAUCUUGCGCAAUGGGCGAAAGCCUGACGCAGCCAUGCCGCGUGAAUGAUGAAGGUCUUAGGAUUGUAAAAUUCUUUCACCGGGGACGAUAAUGACGGUACCCGGAGAAGAAGCCCCGGCUAACUUCGUGCCAGCAGCCGCCGUAAGAC
rnacentral:rRNA from 1 species